rnacentral:rRNA from 1 species
ACGAACGCUGGCGGCGUGCCUAAUACAUGCAAGUCGAACGCUUCUUUUUCCACCGGAGCUUGCUCCACCGGAAAAAGAGGAGUGGCGAACGGGUGAGUAACACGUGGGUAACCUGCCCAUCAGAAGGGGAUAACACUUGGAAACAGGUGCUAAUACCGUAUAACAAUCGAAACCGCAUGGUUUUGAUUUGAAAGGCGCUUUCGGGUGUCGCUGAUGGAUGGACCCGCGGUGCAUUAGCUAGUUGGUGAGGUAACGGCUCACCAAGGCGACGAUGCAUAGCCGACCUGAGAGGGUGAUCGGCCACAUUGGGACUGAGACACGGCCCAAACUCCUACGGGAGGCAGCAGUAGGGAAUCUUCGGCAAUGGACGAAAGUCUGACCGAGCAACGCCGCGUGAGUGAAGAAGGUUUUCGGAUCGUAAAACUCUGUUGUUAGAGAAGAACAAGGAUGAGAGUAACUGUUCAUCCCUUGACGGUAUCUAACCAGAAAGCCACGGCUAACUACGUGCCAGCAGCCGCGGUAAUACGUAGGUGGCAAGCGUUGUCCGGAUUUAUUGGGCGUAAAGCGAGCGCAGGCGGUUUCUUAAGUCUGAUGUGAAAGCCCCCGGCUCAACCGGGGAGGGUCAUUGGAAACUGGGAGACUUGAGUGCAGAAGAGGAGAGUGGAAUUCCAUGUGUAGCGGUGAAAUGCGUAGAUAUAUGGAGGAACACCAGUGGCGAAGGCGGCUCUCUGGUCUGUAACUGACGCUGAGGCUCGAAAGCGUGGGGAGCAAACAGGAUUAGAUACCCUGGUAGUCCACGCCGUAAACGAUGAGUGCUAAGUGUUGGAGGGUUUCCGCCCUUCAGUGCUGCAGCUAACGCAUUAAGCACUCCGCCUGGGGAGUACGACCGCAAGGUUGAAACUCAAAGGAAUUGACGGGGGCCCGCACAAGCGGUGGAGCAUGUGGUUUAAUUCGAAGCAACGCGAAGAACCUUACCAGGUCUUGACAUCCUUUGACCACUCUAGAGAUAGAGCUUCCCCUUCGGGGGCAAAGUGACAGGUGGUGCAUGGUUGUCGUCAGCUCGUGUCGUGAGAUGUUGGGUUAAGUCCCGCAACGAGCGCAACCCUUAUGGUCAGUUACUACGUAAGAGGACUCUGGCCAGACUGCCGUUGACAAAACGGAGGAAGGUGGGGAUGACGUCAAAUCAUCAUGCCCCUUAUGACCUGGGCUACACACGUGCUACAAUGGGAAGUACAACGAGUCGCAAAGUCGCGAGGCUAAGCUAAUCUCUUAAAGCUUCUCUCAGUUCGGAUUGUAGGCUGCAACUCGCCUACAUGAAGCCGGAAUCGCUAGUAAUCGCGGAUCAGCACGCCGCGGUGAAUACGUUCCCGGGCCUUGUACACACCGCCCGUCACACCACGAGAGUUUGUAACACCCGAAGUCGGUGAGGUAACCUUUUGGAGCCAGCCGCCUAAGGUGGGAUAGAUGAUUGGGGUG